CUAUCAGGAGCCAUAUCAACGUUGUACUUGUAUUGCUUGACGAAAGCUUCGCCAAGGUCGUUAAAGGAGCGGAUGUUCGCACUAUCCAGACCCAUGUACCAUCUCAAAGCGGCACCGGACGAGCUGUCCUGGAAGUAAUGGAUUAGGAGUUGAUCAUUAUCGGUCUGGGUCGACAUCUUGCGUGCAUACAUCACAAGAUGGCUGAGCGGGCAAGUGUUUCCUUUGUACUUUUCAAAGUCAGGCACUUUGAACUUGAUAGGAAUCUUGACAUUGGGUACGAG
rnacentral:lncRNA from 1 species